rnacentral:lncRNA from 2 species
UUGCCUGCUUGUAAUGUUACCCCUGAGAAAAGUCAUCUGAAAAUGGGAAAUGGACCUGGACAGGAAUAAGCAGAGCAUGCUGAUUUAAAAUUAUGGAAAUUCUUCAGGCAGAAAAUGGGCACAUAUGGUUAUCACAGAAAAGCUGUUUUAAAGCCAGUUUUAAGGUAUUAUUAUGCCGCUACCUUCAAGAAGUAAUUUGCGUGCUGUUUAUUGGAGCUGUGAAUUUAAUCAUCUCAAUCCCACGCUAUUACAGGAUGACUAUAAGAAGAUGUAUUGACAUUUCUUUGGACACAUAAUUUUGCCUCCAUUGUGUGUUGUUUUGCCAGAAUACUGAAGGCAGUGUUUGUAUGAUGGCACAUCCAAAUAAAAAGCAGGUCCUCCUUUUGGGACAGUGAUCCAUUUAA